rnacentral:rRNA from 1 species
UACGUAGGGUGCAAGCGUUGUCCGGAAUUAUUGGGCGUAAAGAGCUCGUAGGCGGUUUGUCGCGUCUGCUGUGAAAACGCGAGGCUCAACCUCGCGCCUGCAGUGGGUACGGGCAGACUAGAGUGCGGUAGGGGAGAUUGGAAUUCCCGGUGUAGCGGUGAAAUGCGCAGAUAUCGGGAAGAACACCCGUGGCGAAGGCGGCACUCUGGGACGGUACUGGACGCUGAGACGCGAAAAGCGUGGGGAGCGAACAGG